rnacentral:lncRNA from 1 species
GGCGGUAAUUAAUAAACUUCCGGUUCUGCAUUUUGUCCUGCCCAACAGUACAGGGCAAGGGGACCCUGGUAGACAUCGGCUUUCCACUUACCUGACAACACGAUCUGUAGACAGGACCAUCUGCUUCCAGGAGAGUCUAAGGUUUUGUCUCAAGAGCCCCGGAGAGAAGUAACACAGUGAACGUUGGGUUGAGUCAAAACAUGUUGGGACCCUCUUGCUGAGCUGCUGGCCCUAUGUGUGGCUUUGGGCAAAGUAUUUCAUCUCUCUGAGCCUGAUUCUUACCCCGAACAGCAUAUGUACGAAAAUGUCUUGGAAGCUUAAUGAGUUCAUUGUCGUCUAGGUUACAGAGUCACCAUGGCCUGAGAAAAACAUUCCUUUGAGUCUACUCUUGAGGGGAGGGUGUAAAUCAGUAACAGGAAAGUUGCUGCCAAAAAUCUACUUCUUUAGGUCUUCCUUCUUCCCCAUACUUUAUAACUGCCACCAGCUUCCUAUGGCCUCGUUCCCAAGUCAUCUGGGGAGUCCUGGGGCUUCGUCUACUUAUUUGGCCUCUACCCGUGAUCCGGGCAGCGCUGCAUGGGGCGAGUGAGGUCGAGAUGCUCUCCGGUCCUGGGACACCUAAGUGUGUGCUCUGUGCAAGGUCAGCCGUAGCCACAGCUUCCUGCGACCGGAAAGAAAGCAGAAAGAAGGUCACCUUCCACUUCCUCCUUCCCACUGCCCAGAGCAGUGUCUGCUCAAGCUCAAAGUUCCAGAUUCAGACGCCGGGGGCCUUCAGCGUGAGUGAGAGUAAUGAGGAUGUGGACGACAGUGACCACACAGAGCUUCUAGAAUCUUCCUUCACCCAAGACACAUCAGAUGUCCAGGAACACUAUGGUUGGGAUGGCUGGAAGUGAGCGGAGUGUGAAGAUUGAACUGGACACACACAGACAAGAAAUGGUAAAUGCUUUCUGUCCUCA